AGCAGCCGCGGUAAUUCCAGCUCCAAUAGCAUAUAUUAAAGUUGUUGCAGUUAAAAAGCUCGUAGUUGAAUUUCGGGGUUAGUAGGUUGGUCAUGCCACUGGUAUGUACUGGUCUCACUGAUUCCUCCUUCCUGAUGAGCCGUAAUGCCAUUAAUUUGGUGUUGCGAGGAAUCUGGACUGUUACUUUGAAAAAUUAGAGUGUUUAAAGCAGGCUAACGCUUGAAUACAUUAGCAUGGAAUAAUGAAAUAGGACGUUCGAUCUUAUUUUGUUGGUUUCUAAGAUUGACGUAAUGAUUAAUAGGGAUAGUUGGGGGCAUUAGUAUUCAAUUGUCAGAGGUGAAAUUCUUGGAUUUAUUGAAGACUAACUACUGCGAAAGCAUUUGCCAAGGAUGUUUUCAUUAAUCAAGAACGAAAGUUAGGGGAUCGAAGACGAUCAGAUACCGUCGUAGUCUUAACCAUAAACUAUGCCGACUAGGGAUCGGAUGAUGUUAAUUUUUAAUGA
rnacentral:rRNA from 1 species